GGGUCCAAGUGAACGCUGUGGGUAUCAGUUCGGGGAUCAUAUCAGCGUAGCUCGAAAGUCAGGACAUCCUUGAGGUUGGGCUUAGGGAGUUCAAGGGUUUUUAGCCUUUCGAGGAUUGUAAAGAGAAAUGGUAUACGUUAAUAAUAUUUUGGGGAUAUAUAUGUUAUGUUUUAUGUUUUUAUGUUUUAAGGAUGUUGAGUAAAGAAUGGUUGUGAAAAUAUUGAAAUGUUUUAGGAAUUAUGUAUUUAUGGAAAUGCAAGUGAUGGUUGUAUUUUAAGGAUC